rnacentral:rRNA from 1 species
UACGUAGGGUGCGAGCGUUAAUCGGAAUUACUGGGCGUAAAGCGUGCGCAGGCGGUUUUGUAAGCCCGAUGUGAAAUCCCCGGGCUUAACCUGGGAAUGGCAUUUGGGACUGCAAGGCUGGAAUCUGGCAGAGGGGGGUAGAAUUCCACGUGUAGCAGUGAAAUGCGUAGAGAUGUGGAGGAACACCGAUGGCGAAGGCAGCCCCCUGGGUCAAGAUUGACGCUCAUGCACGAAAGCGUGGGGAGCAAACAGG